rnacentral:lncRNA from 10 species
AGCUUCCUACAGUAAAACAAAGCAGAGAGCCACAGGCCCCUGGAUGACACUUGGCAGCCACCCCCACCCCCGCCAAGCAGCAGAAGGCAGAUGUGAUGGCUGGAGCUCAAGCAGCAAUGAAUCAAAAAGUGGAAGUGGAUCAUGAAGUGGAACUUAAACGCUGAGUUUGGUGGAGCAAUGAGACUCAAAAAUAGCCCUGAAGCCAACAGUGUAGAGAGCCAUAUCAGUCAUAGAACACCUACAAGAGAGUAUUUCAGAAGAGAGAAAUAAAUUUGUAUGUUUAAGCUGCUAGCAUUUUUGUGGCCUCUACUAUCAUAACUUGUGGAUGCACCUCCUUCUAACUAAUCUACCUAUCUUUGAGUUUUAAUUUGCUACUUCUCCUGUCCCAUUAAGAAUGUCCCCCUCGUGGCCGGGCGCGGUGGCUCAACGCCUGUAAUCCCAG